rnacentral:rRNA from 1 species
GUCGCAAGACCAAAGAGGGGGACCUUCGGGCCUCUUGCCAUCGGAUGUGCCCAGAUGGGAUUAGCUUGUUGGUGGGGUAACGGCUCACCAAGGCGACGAUCCCUAGCUGGUCUGAGAGGAUGACCAGCCACACUGGAACUGAGACACGGUCCAGACUCCUACGGGAGGCAGCAGUGGGGAAUAUUGCACAAUGGGCGCAAG